GAAAUGCGAUACUUGGUGUGAAUUGCAGAAUCCCGUGAACCAUCGAGUCUUUGAACGCAAGUUGCGCCCCAAGCCGUCAGGCCGAGGGCACGCCUGCCUGGGCGUCACGCAUCGUCGCCCCCCAGCCGCGCCCUUCCUCUCCGGGGAACGGGCCGCGCGCGGGGGGGCGGAGACUGGCCUCCCGCGAGUAACCCCUCGCGGUUGGCCGAAAUACGGAUCCCCGGCCGGCGGUGGCCGCGACGUUCGGUGGUCGUAACGCGCCUCGUGAACCCGUCGCGCGCUCCGCUCCGCCUUUCGCGGGAUCCCCGACCCUGAGGCGGCGCAGGCCGCUCGCAUCGCGACCCCAGGUCAGGCGGGACCACCCGCUGAGUUUAA
rnacentral:misc_RNA from 1 species